rnacentral:lncRNA from 1 species
AAAGUUAUAAAAAGUCCAUUAAUUUUAACAACAUAUUUUAUCACAUAGUCAUAUCCCCAUCAGAUAAUUACAGCAUUUACCCAGUAUAUAAACUAUUUUACCUCUACUUUGUUUUAAUGUUCUGUUUUACGCUCAGUGUAUAUUUCAUACUUAAGUCACAGUUGAGAGAAGCCAUACUUUUACUAGCUAAGUAGCCACGAGUAGACAAGGAAGAAUAAUCAGAAGACCAUAAACCUUUUGAUAGAGGAGGGUGAUCAAAGACUUUCUGGUGAUAACAAUCCUCUGAGUGAAGAACUAGUGAAUUAAGACUGCUGUCGUUAGUUAGUUAGUUAGACAACUAUUUAUUUGGGAAAACAUUCAGAUGGCCUUUGAAAUCAGCAGAUCCUAAAGGAGACACUGGGAAGGUAGAUGGAGGGAAAGAUGCUCAUGUUCUUAGCCUCAGUAGAAGGGCUGGAUUGGGAACAAGAUCUAUGUUUUAAAAACUUUGAAUGUGUGAAAUCACUGAAAGUCCCAAAAUUCUUCCCCUAGUAGAAUGGAUGAAUGAAACCAUGAUGAAAUGAAACCAUGUCUGCUUCAGGUUGGGAGAUUUUGUUACACUGUAAAUUUUCAGAAAUCCAGAAUUAGAUGACAAGGUAAAGAUGCUCAACUAUUAAGGUUCAUUUCAUUAGAAAAGGGGAAACAAAUAUAGGAGCUGAUGGCUAACAUUUAAAACUAGAUCAAGUGAGCCUCAAACCCCCCUACUCUCUGGAGAGAGAAAGAAAAUAUCAGGAAGUGAAAGAUAAUUUUCAUAGGAUUGUUGUCUCCUGCAUUAAAUAUAGUUUUCCAUUCACGUCAUAUCUAUGGAAACAAAAUCCUCAGAUUCAUGAAGGGAAAUAUAUCUUAAGCAAUCUAAGAGUGCUCUUUAAAGAGUCAGAGGUGGAAGAAAUAAGAGAUAC